UACAGGGGGUGCUAGCGUUGCUCGGAAUCACUGGGCGUAAAGCGUACGCAGGCUGCUGCGCAAGUCGGGUGUGAAAGCCCGGGGCUCAACCCCGGAAUUGCGCCCGAAACUGCGCGGCUUGAAUGCGGGAGAGGGAAGCGGAAUUCCUGGUGUAGAGGUGAAAUUCGUAGAUAUCAGGAGGAACACCAGUGGCGAAAGCGGCUUCCUGGCCCGACAUUGACGCUCAUGUACGAAAGCGCGGGGAGCAAACAGG
rnacentral:rRNA from 1 species